CCAGAUGGCUUUUUCUGUUCUUAAAAUGAUGUAUGUUCCCAUCAUUCCAUAUCUCUGCUAAUCGCUUUAACAUAGGAGAACUACAUGGAGCAAGAUGUUAAGGAGGAAGCAGAGGCACCUGGACAGCACUCAUCUGUUGAAAACACUGCCUGCAUGCACAGGGAACCCUCUGCAGGUGCUGGUUGUGGCCUUUUCCUCUGGCCUGUUGGGAAUCCUGAAUUUCUGUCCCCAGACCUAAAUCAGCUCUUCAAACAGGAAUGAAGAACAUUGUUCUGCAAGACUUUGGGAGAUGAGGCGAGUCCCAGGAGAAAUCUGGAGGUGAACAUGGUUCCCAUAAUGUACCAAGAGCAGGACUGAGUUUUGCUUAAAAGUGAAAAGAAAACAGUACUAAAGUGAAAUGAAGUCGAAUGACUGCUUUUUCCUCCCCUCUUUUCCAAGUGAGUGUGGAUGUCAUACUUGCCAUUUACUAAAGCUGGGAGCUACACAAACACCCCACCAGGACCAGAACCAACCUCUACUGCUUUUCCUGCCCAGGGAAUCUCAAUGCUAAGUACAAAGAGAAGCAGUGCUGCCUGAAGACACCAUAAAAAAGCAGCUAAUAUUAAAAAAAAGGAGAUUUUUUUCACAAUUUCUGUAAAAAAUAGGUCAGUUUCCUUUUAAGAAUUUGCCUUUCACAAAUAAUGAAUUUAAAAUUAAUGAAAAUUCAAAAGGGUUAUACUGAGAAAAUCUGAGUUUUUAUUUCAAGUGCACCUAAUUUUUUUUUUUUUGACUUUUCAUAAUUAGAUGGAAAACAUGUUUUGUGAUUGGAGAUAUAUACAACAUAGAACAUCAAAUAAAAAAUAUUGCAUAUAAGAGCUAUCUGUAACUUCUAUUAAGAUAAAAUUUGAAUUUUUCAAACUUGAAUGGACAGUUUCAGUUUCUACAGGGCCCUUCAUUUCCACAUAAUCUUCCAAUAUGAUAUUUAAAGGCUGAAAAUGCAGCACAUUACUCCAGCUUUACUAAGAGACUAUUUGACUGAAAAAUCACAGCAAAAUAGAACUGCAGGCACAGGACAAAGGGGAGUGUUUCUUCUCAGGGUCCUUGCCUUUGCCAAGCCUGAUGCUGUUGCCAGCAUCAGCUCCAGUAAAUGUAAAAUAAUUUUACAUUAAUUGAAGAGUGGUGUGUAAACGUGCAGGUAUCAGCCAUUGUGCCUUGCAGCCAUUGAGACAUUAGCUAUGCUGUGAACAAAAGGAUGGCUGGGUUAGUCUGGAGAGCAUCUCCCUUCGAACCGCCUUGGCCUGGCUCUACAAAAACACCUCCAGAGCUCGUAUCCAUCAACCCUCCCUCGGGCUUGCACAUGAACCUCCGGUGUGAAGUGCUGACCCAUGACUGAAAGGCUUUUUGCACAUUAAUCGUGAAUGAUUUGCUGUGCCCAAACCCAGGCAGCCGCAGCACCGCCCGCCUCUGCGCAGCCCUGUGCUACGAGCAUCACCCACAAGGAGGAGCCCCAUUUACAAAUAAUUCAUUAAGAGAAAAGACGAGGGUUCUGCCUCAGCCGUACCCAGGCUAAACAGAUUAGCAAAGAACCACUUCUUGAUGAAAGAAACAGUGCCGUUCUUUUCAACUAAACUCCCAUCAGAAAGAAGAUGUGCCAGAUAGGGGUUGUUUGUCUAAUUAAAUUAUCCCAACUUUUCCCAAUUACAAGGAGAACAGAUGUUUUGUGACUGGAAAUUAACCCAAAGGGAAGGAACAUCAAAGACCAACUGCCUACAACAAGAGCCUACAAAAUCAAUUUUUUUCCCUUACACUUGAUUAUUUAUUAUGCCAAACACGUUUUGCCUGGGCAGGAAGGUGUGAUUAAGUGAAACUGCUUCCCUACAGAUUCAAGAUCCUUACAGGAACUACAAGAUGAUGCUGAAAGAAGCGCUGUAAAAGUAGAGAUUUACCCAGUAAAGUUACUACAUGAAAGUGCAACAGCAGUUUUCAUUUCGAAUUUACUGUGCUUAUUUUAGUAUAACCCACAAAGCUCAGUUUAACUGAGCACUGUCUUUGUGAAUAGCCUCAUUACUAUCCUACAGCUACAACAAUGUGGAGAAGAGUAGAAAGAGCAAAUGUGCAAACAGUUGUGCAGUUGUGACUUCUCUUGCUCGAUUUUCAGGUGUACUGAGCCUUCUGAGAGCUGUUUGAUGCCAAAAGGGUGCAUGUGCACUCUGAGCCUGUAUGGGCACGGGCUCUUGAAACUGUAAUCCAAAGCCUGAGGUUUGCAAAUUAAGUGAUCUUGUUUCAAAACUUCACUUUGAGCAACUUGCCUACAGUUACCCAGUCAUUCCUCGUAGAAAAACGAACAAAAUCCACACCUGUCAAAGAUCAAUAAAAUGCUGCCAGACACCUCAAAAGAACAAGCAAUAAUUUCUCUUGAUUUCACUUAAGGAAGAAUUUAAUUCAAGAUUUCUUUAAUGUAGAUGGGUUUUAGCUCAUUUUUUCAGCUCACUCACUUUAAAAGCAGUGUUUUUUUCCUUCCUGUUUGUACAUUUAUUUUAUAAACCCAGAAUUCACAGUAAAGUUAGCAGUUUAUCUCUUUUUUAUCUGUCUGCUAUCUUGAUUACUUUUCACUUUGUUUAAGUUGUUGCCUGCUUUGCAAAAUAAAAUUACUUGAGCUGUUAAGACUUCAAAAAAAAAUCUCAUGGUAUUUAUUUUCUGCAUUAUUCAGAAACAAGUACCUUCAACAGAUUGUUUUAAUAAAAUCAAUUAAAUGUUGAAUUUUUGCAUUCUAACAAAUCUCUGCCCUGCUACGAUACUGGCUGGAGGUCAACCCAGAAGGACUCAAGCAAUCUGGGGGUUACUGGAGUGAGCCUCUGCUAACAAAUAUGAUCACAGAGCCAAUGGGGGCAAAGCAUUCUGCUGGACCCCACACUUAAAACCAAGGAAUACAGCCAAGGAAGAAUUCAUCAGGGAUGUGAAGGUCCCAGGCAGCUCUUGCCGCAAUGGCCAUGAAAUAGUGGUGCAUCCCACAAAAAACAAGGAAAAUAGCAGAACUGACCUGUGGAGUUCAGAAAAGCAGGCUGUGGCCUCUUAAGGUGUCUACUUGAAGAAAUCCUUGCAAUGCAUCCACCAAGAAAAAAGGGAACUAGAGGAGUUAGCUGAGUUUCAAGUAUCACCUCCUCCAGCUUCAGAAUGAUCCACCUCAAUGUGCAGGAAAUCAGUCAAAGGCAGGAGGCACCUGCAAAUACAAGCAAGGAGACUGACAAAGGUCAGGUGGAAAAAAGAAGUGUUCUACAACAGGUAGAAGCAAGGAUGAGUGAACUGCCACGAAUAUAGAGAUGCUGUCCAAGCACUCAGGGACAGGGUUACAAUAGGCAAAACCCAUCUGGAGCUGAGCCUGGUAAAGAACUGUGGACAGCAGCAAAGACAUCUACAAGUAUAUCACCUGCAAAAGGAAGACAAGGGAAAAUGUGGGCCUGCUGCUGAAUGGGGUAGGGGACCUGGUAACAAGAAAGCUGAGCUAGCUGUGUUUACUGGUAAGGCCAGCCUCCAGGGACCUCAUGCUCUCAAACCUGCAAGAAAGUCUGGAGCAAGAGGAAGAAGAUCAAGUUAAGAAACAUUUAAUUUUUUAAAAAGACAUAUUAAAGUCCAUGGGAACUUACGGGAUGUAUCCAUGCCUCCUGACAGUGCUGGCUGAUGUCACUGGAAGCACUCUUUGAAGAGUAAUUCAGCAAAUUCAUUAUUUAUAUCCAAGAUGUCUCAGCCAUUGUAGCUUACACUGCUUCUUAGUUUUCUCUUACACGUACAUCUGUAAAGACCUGUUUCUUGAGUAGUCUAUUGAUUUUUUUAAAAUAAAGAGUAGAUCAAAACUGGCAUCCAUUUGCUCAAACAGUAUCUCUGUCCUUAUUAUUAACCACUGGCGUUUUGGGGUUUUACCCUUCUCUUACAAAAAACCUUUGAAAUUACAAUGGAAAUGAUUUGUUUAUUCUAGGUGUGUUAGGCCUUUUGGUUGU